UAUGGUAAUGCAGCCGCGGUAAUACGGAGGAUGCGAGCGUUAUCCGGAUUUAUUGGGUUUAAAGGGUGCGUAGGCGGUUUAUUAAGUUAGUGGUUAAAUAUUUGAGCUAAACUCAAUUGUGCCAUUAAUACUGGUAAACUGGAGUACAGACGAGGUAGGCGGAAUAAGUUAAGUAGCGGUGAAAUGCAUAGAUAUAACUUAGAACUCCGAUAGCGAAGGCAGCUUACCAGACUGUAACUGACGCUGAUGCACGAGAGCGUGGGUAGCGAACAGG
rnacentral:rRNA from 1 species